rnacentral:rRNA from 1 species
UACGGAGGGUGCGAGCGUUAAUCGGAAUCACUGGGCGUAAAGCGCACGUAGGCGGUGUCGUAAGUCGGAUGUGAAAGCCCUCGGCUCAACCGGGGAACUGCAUUCGAUACUGCGAUGCUUGAGUGCCGGAGAGGGUGGCGGAAUUCCAGGUGUAGGAGUGAAAUCCGUAGAUAUCUGGAGGAACACCAGUGGCGAAGGCGGCCACCUGGCCGGCAACUGACGCUGAGGUGCGAAAGCGUGGGGAUCAAACAGG